rnacentral:rRNA from 1 species
AGCAGUCGCCACGGUAAUACGUAGGGUGCGAGCGUUAAUCGGAAUUACUGGGCGUAAAGGGCGCGUAGGCGGACAGUUCAGUCGGGGGUGAAAGCCCGGGGCUCAACCUCGGAAUUGCCUUCGAUACUGGCUGUCUUGAGUAUGAGAGAGGUGUGUGGAACUCCGAGUGUAGAGGUGAAAUUCGUAGAUAUUCGGAAGAACACCAGUGGCGAAGGCGACACACUGGCUCAUUACUGACGCUGAGGCGCGAAAGCGUGGGGAGCAAACAGGAUUAGAUACCCCAGUAGUCCCUGUCUCUUAUAA